CAGGUAGGUGGUCUUAUUUGUCUGGGGUGAAAUCCCUGAGCUUAACUCAGGAAGUGCCUUAGAAACGGUAAGACUGGAGUACUGGAGAGGGUCGUGGAAUUCCCGGUGUAGCGGUGAAAUGCGUAGAGAUCGGGAGGAACACCAGAGGCGAAGGCGGCGACCUGGACAGUGACUGACACUCAACUGCGAAAGCGUGGGGAGCAAACAGGAUUAGAUACCCUGGUAGUCCACGCUGUAAACGAUGGGUACUAGAUUUGAUGGGAUUUGACCCCUGUUGAAUCGGCGAUAACGCACUAAGUACCCCGCCUGGGAAGUACGGUCGCAAGACUAAA
rnacentral:rRNA from 1 species